rnacentral:rRNA from 1 species
UACGUAGGGGGCUAGCGUUGUCCGGAAUCAUUGGGCGUAAAGCGCGUGUAGGCGGCCAGAUAAGUCCGCUGUGAAAUCUCGAGGCUCAACUUCGAGCUGUCGGUGGAAACUGUCUGGCUAGAGUCCGGAAGAGGAGAAUGGAAUUCCUGGUGUAGCGGUGAAAUGCGCAGAUAUCAGGAAGAACACCCGUGGCGAAGGCGGUUCUCUGGGACGGUACUGACGCUGAGACGCGAAAGCGUGGGGAGCAAACAGG